CACGUACGAACGGUCGAUCCGUUGAUAUCCUGGCAACUUGACUUGCACGCCUUUCCUUUCUGUUUUGCAGUAAAAAAGAACGAGAGUUGCCGGUCUGUUGGAGCUGCCACCAGAAUUUUUUUUUUUUGUAAUCAACAGUCUUAUGUAGUAUUAUGAUUUCAGAGAUAAGUACAUGAUCAGUUAGUUACGUGGAGAACUGAACUUGGGAGUUCUUUCGCUGAACUUGAGGCCCCCCUCUUAUAUACUUAUAAGCAAAUAAGCAAACUUGGACCUCAACUCCGGAACCCGGAUGCUUAUCCGUAGGAGAAGAACGCCCUUCCCUUGACCGGGAACUCAAGUGUAUCAUCAACUUGGUAAGGAUACCGUAUUGAAUCACCGUACUUCGUACCAAUGUGCAACUUAUCACUUCGCAUUGUAAAAUGGCGUCUCUACUGCCACUAGCGACAAACUAGGUGAUGGUUUUGACUUUGCAAAGUCAAACUAAUUAAGAUUAAAUGUUGCCUUAGUUAUAUUUCAUUAUCAUAUACUCCUUCCGGCGUAGUAUGUCCUAGUUUUGUCCUAAGUGUAAUUUGUAGAAAAUUGUGCCGAUAUCUACAACUAUAUGUUUUAUUAAAUCCAUUGUGAUACAUAUUUUCAAAAUAUACUUAUUUGAUAAUGUUGCCGUUAGCUUUAUUUUUCAUAAAAUUUGUCAAACUUUAAGUCAGUUAGGAUAAGUUUGACUGGAGGUAUUAGUAGGCACAUUAACAUUCCUAAUCCAGAGUUAUUUUUGGAUGGUUUUUUUAUCGCGUCAAUCGUCUCAUGUCACUGCAUGGCUACAUAAAGAAGUGUCCCGCCAACGCUAGAUUGCAUCUCGACUCCCAAGCCCUAGCCGUCACUACUCCAAUUUGCGAUGAUUUCGACUUCUCCAUCUUGACGACCGUACACAUGGUUGGUCAGGAGAGUGGACCUUCGGAACCGCGUCCUUCGAUAUCUUGCACUAGAAGAGUGGCCCAAUAAAAUUUGUAUGGUGUGUCCUUGCACACCUGCUCUUCUGGUCGAUUGCUUACCUGUCGACAUCUUCAUCAUGAGGGGCUCAACAUCGAGGACAUACGGUUCGGUUCGAGUUCCAAUUUAUGUUCUUGCAAACGAUAUAGAUGUCUUAGCCUACUACUUACUCCCUCCGUCUGCAAAUAAGUGUACGCUUGGGUUUAAAAUUGUCCACAAAAGAGUGUACUUCGCUAUA
rnacentral:lncRNA from 1 species